UUGGCAAUGUUUUGUGUAGAGUGCAGUAUAUGUGACUGGUAACGCAGUGUUCCACACUCAGGAACUGUAUGGCCUAGUAUCGUGUGCAAUUCCCCAUCUAGUUAAUCUGCUUAAGGACACCUUCGCCAAAACACGCAUCAGUGCAGCAGCCGCUCUGGGCAAUCUCUGUCGUCAUUCUGGAGUGCUGGCCAAUCACAUGCUGAAAAGCAAUGCAAUCUCACUGUUGAUUGAAGCUAGUGUUUCUGAUGCAAACUUUGCUGUCCGAGAGAGCUCUUUGACUGCUUUAAGGAUAAUGUCCUCCCAACAGUCUUUACUCGAGG